GAAUGAUUAUUUGGGUUUGAGCUCACAUCCUACAAUAUCAAAC
rnacentral:sRNA from 1 species